GUCGACGCUCAAAGCCCCACUGUGAGCUGACACGUGUGCACAAGGACGCCUCACAGAGCCCCUUAAAGGCUGGCGCAUGCGUCUGCGUCGUUUUGUCGACGCACUUGUUUCAAUUCAUGGUUCUUAAAGUCUUGCGUGUGUUGCAGAGCAAUUCACCGCCAGCACAACAGGGCAGAGUGGGCGGCGUGGCUGCUGCAGAAGGAGAAAGCUGAGCUUAAAGUCCAGUUGGCCGACCUGAGACGAGGCCAAGCCUUUCUGCUGGACUUCAGAGAGCUCAACCGACUUUACCUGGACCACCGACGCAAGCGGCCCAAAGAAUAAGAGACGUACGGGGCGGCCAGCUUGCCUGCUCUGCUGCUGGAGCCCAACAGGUCAGGACCGCUGAGCACCAGCUGUAAGGGAGCAACCAGCAGCCCAGAGGGAGGCGGAAGAAGAACCCGACCGAGGAACCGUGUGUGGAAUGAGAGCCAGCACAGAACGUGCACAGGUGGAAUACUUGGAG
ensembl:lncRNA